rnacentral:rRNA from 1 species
AGCAGUCGCCACGGUAAUACAGAGGGUGCGAGCGUUAAUCGGAUUUACUGGGCGUAAAGCGUGCGUAGGCGGCUUCUUAAGUCGGAUGUGAAAUCCCUGAGCUUAACUUAGGAAUUGCAUUCGAUACUGGGAAGCUAGAGUAUGGGAGAGGAUGGUAGAAUUCCAGGUGUAGCGGUGAAAUGCGUAGAGAUCUGGAGGAAUACCGAUGGCGAAGGCAGCCAUCUGGCCUAAUACUGACGCUGAGGUACGAAAGCAUGGGGAGCAAACAGGAUUAGAUACCCCAGUAGUCCCUGUCUCUUAUAA